CGCUGGCGGCGUGCCUAAUACAUGCAAGUCGAGCGAACGGACGAGAAGCUUGCUUCUCUGAUGUUAGCGGCGGACGGGUGAGUAACACGUGGAUAACCUACCUAUAAGACUGGGAUAACUUCGGGAAACCGGAGCUAAUACCGGAUAAUAUUUUGAACCGCAUGGUUCAAAAGUGAAAGACGGUCUUGCUGUCACUUAUAGAUGGAUCCGCGCUGCAUUAGCUAGUUGGUAAGGUAACGGCUUACCAAGGCAACGAUGCAUAGCCGACCUGAGAGGGUGAUCGGCCACACUGGAACUGAGACACGGUCCAGACUCCUACGGGAGGCAGCAGUAGGGAAUCUUCCGCAAUGGGCGAAAGCCUGACGGAGCAACGCCGCGUGAGUGAUGAAGGUCUUCGGAUCGUAAAACUCUGUUAUUAGGGAAGAACAUAUGUGUAAGUAACUGUGCACAUCUUGACGGUACCUAAUCAGAAAGCCACGGCUAACUACGUGCCAGCAGCCGCGGUAAUACGUAGGUGGCAAGCGUUAUCCGGAAUUAUUGGGCGUAAAGCGCGCGUAGGCGGUUUUUUAAGUCUGAUGUGAAAGCCCACGGCUCAACCGUGGAGGGUCAUUGGAAACUGGAAAACUUGAGUGCAGAAGAGGAAAGUGGAAUUCCAUGUGUAGCGGUGAAAUGCGCAGAGAUAUGGAGGAACACCAGUGGCGAAGGCGACUUUCUGGUCUGUAACUGACGCUGAUGUGCGAAAGCGUGGGGAUCAAACAGGAUUAGAUACCCUGGUAGUCCACGCCGUAAACGAUGAGUGCUAAGUGUUAGGGGGUUUCCGCCCCUUAGUGCUGCAGCUAACGCAUUAAGCACUCCGCCUGGGGAGUACGACCGCAAGGUUGAAACU
rnacentral:rRNA from 1 species